rnacentral:rRNA from 1 species
GACGAACGCUGGCGGCGUGCUUAACACAUGCAAGUCGAACGAUGAACCCGGAGCUUGCUCUGGGGGAUUAGUGGCGAACGGGUGAGUAACACGUGAGUAACCUGCCCUGGACUCUGGGAUAAGCGUUGGAAACGACGUCUAAUACCGGAUAGGACCUUGGAUCGCAUGAUCUGGGGUGGAAAGUUUUUUCGGUCUGGGAUGGACUCGCGGCCUAUCAGCUUGUUGGUGAGGUAAUGGCUCACCAAGGCGUCGACGGGUAGCCGGCCUGAGAGGGUGACCGGCCACACUGGGACUGAGACACGGCCCAGACUCCUACGGGAGGCAGCAGUGGGGAAUAUUGCACAAUGGGCGAAAGCCUGAUGCAGCAAUGCCGCGUGCGGGAUGACGGCCUUCGGGUUGUAAACCGCUUUUAGUAGGGAAGAAGGGCUUCGGCUUGACGGUACCUGCAGAAAAAGGACCGGCUAACUACGUG